GCCUGUGUGGCUCAGUGAUUAGAGCAUUGGCCCUCUUGCUGAAAGGUCUCGGGUUCGAUUCCCAGUCAAGGGCA
rfam:Myotis brandtii contig281560, whole genome shotgun sequence.